UACAGAGGAGGCAAGCGUUGUUCGGAAUUACUGGGCGUAAAGCGUGUGCAGGCGGCUGUGCAAGUCGGGUGUGAAAGCCCCGAGCUUAACUUGGGAACUGCGCUCGAAACUACUUGGCUAGAGUGUGGCAGAGGGAGGUGGAAUUCCACGUGUAGCGGUGAAAUGCGUAGAGAUGUGGAGGAACACCGAUGGCGAAGGCAGCCUCCUGGGCCAACACUGACGCUCAUGCACGAAAGCGUGGGGAGCAAACAGG
rnacentral:rRNA from 1 species